CCGGAUGAUCGACUAUCCAUAAUAAUCAGAGAUUCAAAAAUAACUUUAACUAUAACCAAAGUACGCUAUGACGAUGCUGGAAUUUACACGUGUUUAAUAAACAUAGCACAAGAAACUAAAGAUGUACAGCUCAUUGUUUCUGCGUUGGAGAAGGGUAGCGCUGUUGAUGUCCCGGGAACUGUUCCAUCUACCUCCAUACGAAUGAACGAUAAAACUUAUACCCCGUGGCCAGGUGAUGAAGCGUUGGAGAAGGGUAGCACUGUUGAUAUCACUGGAACUGUUCCAUCUUCCUCCAUACCGCUGGACGAUAAAACUGAUACCCUGUGGCCAGGUGAUGAAGUAGGUUCUGGUCGUGUCGAAUUAAUCGUUAUGGUAGUGAUCGGAUUGAUGGUACUAUUUUUUAUCCUCCUCGCAGCAAAUACGUUGUAUUUUAGAAGAAAGCUCAUUCGUGGAGAACGAGUGGACAGUAUCGGAAUGGUUGCUCAUAGCUAUG